rnacentral:ncRNA from 2 species
CUUCAGGAUCGCCUCCGAGCCCGUUUUGCCUAAGGGAUUUUAUCCUAUGGCGGCGGGCCGUUAGGGCAUCUUCGGAAACGGAGACGCCUCCCGCAUUGGAAAGGAGGAGAAAGUUAAAGGCC